UACGGAGGGUGCAAACGUUGCUCGGAAUCAUUGGGCGUAAAGCGCACGUAGGCGGCUCGUUAAGUCGGGUGUGAAAGCCCUGGGCUCAACCCAGGAAGUGCAUUCGAAACUGGCGAGCUUGAAUAUGGAAGAGGGUCGCGGAAUUCCCGGUGUAGAGGUGAAAUGCGUAGAGAUCGGGAGGAACAUCCGUGGCGAAGGCGACUACCUGGACCAGCACUGACACUGAGGCACGAAAGCGUGGGGAGCAAACAGG
rnacentral:rRNA from 1 species